UGCAGAAAGAAUAGAUCAGGUGUGAAGUUGUUUUGAUAACGGUUAAAUAAUUAAUGGCACACUUCGUGUGUGAAUAAGGGCCGAUUAACUGGUAAUCGACAUACUUCAGGUGUGAAGCAAUGAUCAAUCAAUUAAUCACCGGCACGCGAACUGCAAUAAAUAAUUUGUGUAUUAAGGUUUAUGUUUAAAGGCUGUGGAUUUUCUAUAAAAAUCUUGAUUUAUUUGCCACAAAGUCCUUUUUUUUUGAAGAUCUCGUCUGAUUGCUUAUGAGACAACUCUUCACUAGAGACCAAAAUGACACAGAAAUGAACAACUAUAGGUAAUCGUACAGCCUUCAGCCAUGAGCAAAACCCACCCAUACCUCAUAGUCAGCUAUAAUGACCAGUAAAACAAUUCAAACGGAAAACGAACUGACUGCCAUACUUAUUUAAAAAAAAACAAAAAACAAAGUGUUAACACAUCAACAAACAACGUGUUUAUCGCAAUAUUCAGUAAAAAAUCUCUUCAAAUAUUCUAAGGAUCGAGCACACCUUGACACUUGAGGAUUUUUUUUCAGAUACAAAUCCUAUCAGUAGAUAAAUCAGUAGGUGAAUAAUAAAAUAUGAAGCAUUAUAAUGUUAAAAAUAUUUUCUACUAACACGAAAAAAACUA
rnacentral:lncRNA from 1 species